rnacentral:rRNA from 1 species
GAUAAUACACGAAAAACCUUACCGAGGCUUGUAAUCUUUUGCGAAGCUAUAGAAAUAUAGUGAAGGUUAUCAAAAUGACAGGUGGUGCAUGGCUGUCGUCAGCUCGUGUCUUGAGAUGUUUGGUUAAGUCCCGUAACGAGCGCAACCCUACUCUUUAGUUAAUUAGUUCUAAAGUGACUGAAUCGUAAGAUAUAAGAAGGCUGGGGCCAAGUCAAGUCAUCAUGCCCCUUAUGCCUCGGGCUGCAAACGUGCUACAAUGGUAGGCAUAAUGUGUUGCAAUCUAGAAAUAGUGAGCUAAUCACCGAAAACCUAUCUCAGUCCGGAUAAAAGGCUGCAAUUCGCCUAUUUGAAGUUGGAAUCA